GACAGAGGGUGCAAACGUUGUUCGGAUUUACUGGGCGUAAAGCGCGUGUAGGCGGCUUGGCAAGUCGGAUGUGAAAGCCCACGGCUCAACCGUGGAAGCGCAUCCGAAACGGCCUCGCUCGAGUCUCGGAGAGGAAGGUGGAAUGCUUGGUGUAGAGGUGAAAUUCGUAGAUAUCAAGCAGAACACCUGCGGCGAAGGCGGCCUUCUGGACGAUGACUGACGCUGAGACGCGAAAGCGUGGGGAGCAAACAGG
rnacentral:rRNA from 1 species